rnacentral:rRNA from 1 species
CUACGGGAGGCACCAGUGGGGAAUAUUGCACAAUGGAGGAAACUCUGAUGCAGCAACGCCGCGUGGAGGAUGACACUUUUCGGAGCGUAAACUCCUUUUAUAUAGGAAGAUAAUGACGGUACUAUAUGAAUAAGCACCGGCUAACUCCGUGCCAGCAGCCGCGGUAAUACGGAGGGUGCAAGCGUUACUCGGAAUCACUGGGCGUAAAGAGCGUGUAGGCGGGUUAAUAAGUCAGAAGUGAAAUCCUAUGGCUCAACCAUAGAACUGCUUUUGAAACUGUUAACCUAGAAUAUGGGAGAGGUAGAUGGAAUUUCUGGUGUAGGGGUAAUAUCCGUAGAGAUCAGAAGGAAUACCGAUUGCGAAGGCGAUCUACUGGAACAUUAUUGACGCUGAGACGCGAAAGCGUGGGGAGCAAACAGGAUUAGAUACCCUCGUAGUC